rnacentral:rRNA from 1 species
AGCGAACGCUGGCGGCAUGCUUAACACAUGCAAGUCGCGCGGGUGGUUUCGGCCAUCAGCGGCGGACGGGUGAGUAUGGCGUAGGAAUGUAUACCGAGGUGGGGGACAAGCCUGGGAAAUUGGGGGUAAUACCGCAUGGGGCCUGUGGGUCAAAGCCUUAGGGCGCCUUGGGAGCAGCCUGCGUCCGAUUAGGUAGUGUGUGGGGUAAAGGGCUACCAAGCCUGCGAUCGGUAGCUGGUCUGAGAGGACGAUCAGCCACACUGGGACUUAGACACGGCCCAGACUCCUACGGGAGGCAGCAGUGGGGAAUAUUGGACAAUGGGCGCAAGCCUGAUCCAGCAAUGCCGCGUGGGUGAAGAAGGUCUUCGGACUGUAAAGCCCUUUCGGCGGGGACGAUGAUGACGGUACCCGCAGAAUAAGCCCCGGCUAACUUCGUG